AACGGUCUAUACCUGCGGUACCUGCGGAAGGAUCAUUAAUGAGAAACUGCCCCUCGCGGGUAGAUCUCCCACCCUUUGUAAACUUACCUUUGUUGCUUUGGCAGGCCCGUCUCCGGACCGCCGGCUUCGGCUGGCCAGUGCCUGCCAGAGGAUUCUAAAACUCUGUCUGUCAGUGUUGUCUGAGUCUAUAUACAAUCGUUAAAACUUUUAGCAACGGAUCUCUAGAUCGGAAGAGCACAC
rnacentral:misc_RNA from 1 species